rnacentral:rRNA from 1 species
GGUGAGUGUGUGCCGGUGGCGGGGGUAAGAGGGAGGUGGCGGUGGUUGUCCGGGGUUACUGGGCGUAAAGCGCGUGGAGGGGGUUGGUGAAGUGGGGUGUGAAAUUCCUUGGCUUAACUGGGAGGGGGCGCUGAAGACUGGUUGGCUUGAGGGUGAGAGGGGGGAGGAGAAUUCCCGGUGUAGUGGUGGAAUGCGUAGAUAUCGGGAGGAAUACCAGUGGCGAAAGCGGCGCCCUGGGUCGCACCUGACGCUGAGGCGCGAAAGCGUGGGGAGCGAACGGGAUUAGAUACUCGAGUAGUC